rnacentral:rRNA from 1 species
AGCAGCCGCGGUAAUUCCAGCUCCAAUAGCGUAUAUUAAAGUUGUUGCAGUUAAAAAGCUCGUAGUUGAAUUUCGGGGUUCUACCGUUGGUCGGGCUUUGUCUGUACUGGCGUGUAGAAUUUCUACCUUCUGGGGAACCAUCAUGUUAUUAAUUUAGCGUGGUGGGAAACCAGGACCUUUACCUUGAAAAAUUAGAGUGUUCAAAGCAGGCUUAUGUCUGAAUACAUUAGCAUGGAAUAAUAGAAUAGGACGGUGGUCCUGUUUUGUUGGUUUCUGAAUCACCGUAAUGAUUAAUAGGGAUAGUUGGGGGCAUUAGUAUUCAAUUGUCAGAGGUGAAAUUCUUGGAUUUAUUGAAGACUAACUUCUGCGAAAGCAUUUGCCAAGGAUGUUUUCAUUAAUCAAGAACGAAAGUUAGGGGAUCGAAGACGAUCAGAUACCGUCGUAGUCUUA